CUCAGGAUGAUGCCCUCCAGGUCCAUCCAUUUGGCUAGGAAUUUCAUAAAUUCAUUCUUUUUAAUAGCUGAGUAGUACUCCAUUGUGUAGAUGUACCACAUUUUCUGUAUCCAUUCCUCUGUUGAGGGGCAUCUGGGUUCUUUCCAGCUUCUGGCUAUUAUAAAUAAGGCUGCUAUGAACAUAGUGGAGCAUGUGUCCUUCUUACCAGUUGGGGCAUCUUCUGGAUAUAUGCCCAGGAGAGGUAUUGCUGGAUCCUCCGGUAGUACUAUGUCCAAUUUUCUGAGGAACCGCCAGACUGAUUUCCAGAGUGGUUGUAUAAGCCUGCAAUCCCACCAACAAUGGAGGAGUGUUCCUCUUUCUCCACAUCCACGCCAGCAUCUGCUGUCACCUGAAUUUUUGAUCUUAGCCAUUCUGACUGGUGUGAGGUAGAAUCUCAGGGUUGUUUUGAUUUGCAUUUCCCUGAUGAUUAAGGAUGUUGAACAUUUUUUCAGGUGCUUCUCUGCCAUUCGGUAUUCCUCAGGUGAGAAUUCUUUGUUCAGUUCUGAGCCCCAUUUUUUAAUGGGGUUAUUUGAUUUUCUGAAGUCCACCUUCUUGAGUUCUUUAUAUAUGUUGGAUAUUAGUCCCCUAUCUGAUUUAGGAUAGGUAAAGAUCCUUUCCCAAUCUGUUGGUGGUCUUUUUGUCUUAUUGACGGUGUCUUUUGCCUUGCAGAAACUUUGGAGUUUCAUUAGGUCCCAUUUGUCAAUUCUCGAUCUUACAGCACAAGCCAUUGCUGUUCUGUUCAGGAAUUUUUCCCCUGUGCCCAUAUCUUCAAGGCUUUUCCCCACUUUCUCCUCUAUAAGUUUCAGUGUCGCUGGUUUUAUGUGAAGUUCCUUGAUCCACUUAGAUUUGACCUUAGUACAAGGAGAUAAGUAUGGAUCGAUUCGCAUUCUUCUACACGAUAACAACCAGUUGUGCCAGCACCAAUUGUUGAAAAUGCUGUCUUUCUUCCACUGGAUGGUUUUAGCUCCCUUGUCGAAGAUCAAGUGACCAUAGGUGUGUGGGUUCAUUUCUGGGUCUUCAAUUCUAUUCCAUUGGUCUACUUGUCUGUCUCUAUACCAGUACCAUGCAGUUUUUAUCACAAUUGCUCUGUAGUAAAGCUUUAGGUCUGGCAUGGUGAUUCCGCCAGAAGUUCUUUUAUCCUUGAGAAGACUUUUUGCUAUCCUAGGUUUUUUGUUAUUCCAGACAAAUUUGCAAAUUGCUCCUUCCAAUUCGUUGAAGAAUUGAGUUGGAAUUUUGAUGGGGAUUGCAUUGAAUCUGUAGAUUGCUUUUGGCAAGAUAGCCAUUUUUACAAUGUUGAUCCUGCCAAUCCAUGAGCAUGGGAGAUCUUUCCAUCUUCUGAGAUCUUCCUUAAUUUCUUUCUUCAGAGAUUUGAAGUUUUUAUCAUACAGAUCUUUCACUUCCUUAGUUAGAGUCACGCCAAGAUAUUUUAUAUUAUUUGUGACUAUUGAGAAGGGUGUUGUUUCCCUAAUUUCUUUCUCAGCCUGUUUAUUCUUUGUAUAGAGAAAGGCCAUUGACUUGUUUGAGUUUAUUUUAUAUCCAGCUACUUCACCGAAACUGUUUAUCAGGUUUAGGAGUUCUCUGGUAGAAUUUUUAGGGUCACUUAUAUAUACUAUCAUAUCAUCUGCAAAAAGUGAUAUUUUGACUUCCUCUUUUCCAAUUUGUAUCCCCUUGAUCUCCUUUUGUUGUCGAAUUGCUCUGGCUAAUACUUCAAGUACUAUGUUGAAAAGGUAGGGAGAAAGUGGGCAGCCUUGUCUAGUCCCUGAUUUUAGUGGGAUUGCUUCCAGCUUCUCUCCAUUUACUUUGAUGUUGGCUACUGGUUUGCUGUAGAUUGCUUUUAUCAUGUUUAGGUAUGGGCCUUGAAUUCCUGAUCUUUCCAAAACUUUUAUCAUAAAUGGGUGUUGGAUCUUGUCAAAUGCUUUUUCUGCAUCUAACGAGAUGAUCAUGUGAUUUUUGUCUUUGAGUUUGUUUAUAUAAUGGAUUACAUUGAUGGAUUUUCGUAUAUUAAACCAUCCCUGCAUCCCUGGAAUAAAACCUACUUGGUCAGGAUGGAUGAUUGCUUUAAUGUGUUCUUGGAUUCGGUUAGCGAGAAUUUUAUUGAGGAUUUUUGCAUCGAUAUUCAUAAGAGAAAUUGGUCUGAAGUUCUCUAUCUUUGUUGGAUCUUUCUGUGGUUUAGGUAUCAGAGUAAUAGUGGCUUCAUAAAAUGAGUUGGGUAGAGUACCUUCUACUUCUAUUUUGUGAAAUAGUUUGUGCAGAAUUGGAAUUAGAUCUUCUUUG
rnacentral:lncRNA from 1 species